UACAGGUGGUGCAUGGCUGUCGUCAGCUCGUGUCGUGAGAUGUGGGUUAAGUCCCGCAACGAGCGCAACCCUACUCUUAUGUUGCCAGCACGUUAUGGUGGGGACGUCGUAAGAGACUGCCGGGGUCAACUCGGAGGAAGGUGGGGACGACGUCAAGUCAUCAUGCCCCUUAUGUCCAGGGCUUCACACAUGCUACAAUGGCCAGUACAGAGGGCUGCGAGACCGUGAGGUGGAGCGAAUCCCUUAAAGCUGGUCUCAGUUCGGAUCGGGGUCUGCAACUCGACCCCGUGAAGUCGGAGUCGCUAGUAAUCGCAGAUCAGCAACGCUGCGGUGAAUACGUUCCCGGGCCUU
rnacentral:rRNA from 1 species